rnacentral:tRNA from 2 species
GCGAGAGUGCUGGAACUGGCAGACAGGCACGUUUGAGGGGCGUGUGGUCAAUACCGUACGGGUUCAAGUCCCGUCUCUCGCACCA